UACGAAGGGGGCUAGCGUUGUUCGGAAUUACUGGGCGUAAAGCGCACGUAGGCGGAUAUUUAAGUCAGGGGUGAAAUCCCGGGGCUCAACCCCGGAACUGCCUUUGAUACUGGGUAUCUCGAGUCCGAGAGAGGUGAGUGGAAUUCCGAGUGUAGAGGUGAAAUUCGCAGAUAUCUGGAGGAACACCGGUGGCGAAGGCGGCAUCCUGGACCAACACUGACGCUGAGUGAGCGAAAGCCAGGGGAGCAAAGCGGG
rnacentral:rRNA from 1 species